AGAGGAAGGUUGGGGAUGUUCAUGCACUUUCCCCCCUUCUCUGGCUCUGCCUUCAGCGUUUCCUCUCUAACUCAGAGAAAAAUUCGUACAGAUUCAGUGUAUCAAGCCAACCUCAAAAUCCUAAACUACUCCAAGAACGACUUCUGAGUUUCUCAAGAAUCAUAGGUUUCCGAUGAUGGAGUCGUUUUGAUCUCCCCUGUGCAUGGAUGAAGAUUGACUCUCUGUCCACUUUGAGUGAAGGUAGAAUAAUUUUAUAUUCUCUGCAGGGAAUAGGUUAGCUAUGUGUCAGUUCUGGGAAUGUAGUAGUAGGUUGGAGUGAUCAUGUUUAACAGCCCAAGUUUGUAUAGAGUCGGAUGUCUCCAGGAAGAAACUCUAUAAUGGAACUGAUGGAAAAUGUUGUUGAAGAUGGCAGCUCUUAUAGAAACGUGCCACAUGAACUCUGGUCACUUGCUGAAGUUGAUCCGAAGAAGUCAAAGUUUCCAUGCUGUAUUGUUUGGACUCCACUCCCUGUGGUCUCAUGGUUGGCACCUUAUAUAGGACAUGUUGGUAUAUGCCGGGAGGAUGGGGCUAUUCUGGAUUUUGCAGGAUCAUAUUUAUUGAACAUAGACAAUUUCGCAUAUGGUGCUGUAGCCAGAUAUCUUCGACUUGAUAGAGCACAGUGCUGCUUUCCUCCUCACUUGGCUGGCCACAAGUGCAAAAAUGGGUACAUGCAUGCGGAGAAUGGAACUGCAGUCAGUUGGGAUGAUGCACUGAGCUCAAGCAUGCGUAACUUCGAGCACAAAUCCUACAACCUUUUCACCUGCAACUGCCACUCAUUUGUUGCAAACUGUCUGAAUAGGCUCUCUUACCAUGGGUCCCUUGGAUGGAACAUGGUUAAUGUGGUUGUUUUGAUACUGUGGAAGGGGCAAUGGGUGGAUGCCAUGUCAGUUGUGAGGUCAUUCUUUCCCUUCACUCUGGUGCUCUGUCUGGGAUUACUGAUAGCUGGGUGGCCGUUCUUGAUCGGAUUGGCAUCUUUCUCUGUCCUCCUCAUGGGGUGGUUUCUCAUAGGUACUUACUUUGCCAAAUCUCUGUUAGAGUGAUAGAUCAUUGUGGUACUAUACAGAUUUCUUUGAUGGAAUGAUGGAACAGAGUUUUUGCAUCCAGUCUUAAGCUUCAUUGAAGUGCCUUCUUACAUCGCUAUCUCGGAACAUGGAGUGGGUUGCAGUUACGGGCCAUUGUUCAAGAUUGAGAGAUGGAAAGGAAUAAGAAGCAACCAGGAGGAACUCGUUACUUUUUCCUUAAUUAUAAAUUGGGUGAGAGUUUUUACUACGACGCCCGCAUGCAGUUUUCGGCCAAUGGGAGGAGCGGGAGACGAAUGUUACAAAUAGCCAUAUAGGGGGUUUUUGAGGAGAGAGAAAAUAUAUGGGGCCCGUAUUUAUGUGUCUUGCCUUGUACUUUGAUGUGCACACUGUUGUUGUGUGAAUCUUCUACUCUUUCUUUUACCAACAAAAAAAAAAUCUUCUACCCUUCAUAAAUUCUGGGAAAAGGUGGGGUAUUUUUGUGGUA